GCUCAGAUUGAACGCUGGCGGCAGGCCUAACACAUGCAAGUCGAACGGUAGCACAGAGAGCUUGCUCUUGGGUGACGAGUGGCGGACGGGUGAGUAAUGUCUGGGAAACUGCCCGAUGGAGGGGGAUAACUACUGGAAACGGUAGCUAAUACCGCAUAACGUCUUCGGACCAAAGUGGGGGACCUUCGGGCCUCACACCAUCGGAUGUGCCCAGAUGGGAUUAGCUAGUAGGUGGGGUAACGGCUCACCUAGGCGACGAUCCCUAGCUGGUCUGAGAGGAUGACCAGCCACACUGGAACUGAGACACGGUCCAGACUCCUACGGGAGGCAGCAGUGGGGAAUAUUGCACAAUGGGCGCAAGCCUGAUGCAGCCAUGCCGCGUGUAUGAAGAAGGCCUUCGGGUUGUAAAGUACUUUCAGUGGGGAGGAAGGCGAUGAAGUUAAUAGCUUCUUCGAUUGACGUUACCCGCAGAAGAAGCACCGGCUAACUCCGUGCCAGCAGCCGCGGUAAUACGGAGGGUGCAAGCGUUAAUCGGAAUUACUGGGCGUAAAGCGCACGCAGGCGGUCUGUCAAGUCGGAUGUGAAAUCCCCKGGCUCAACCUGGGAACUGCAUUCGAAACUGGCAGGCUAGAGUCUUGUAKAGGGGGGUAGAAUUCCAGGUGUA
rnacentral:rRNA from 1 species